rnacentral:sRNA from 1 species
GUUACCUCACCAUCUCCUUCCCAGUUCCUGAUAAUCUAGCCACAUCAUUUGUCACAGCCCUUGCUUCAGUAUGUAAUUGUACAUCAAGACAUUUUCCUUUCUAAGCAAAUGCAGCCAUGUAUACUGUCUGAAGUUCUGAAUACUGUGAAGACUUUUUCUUCACCAAUGUCCUCCAGGGUUGUCUUAGAGUGGGACUGCGAUGCUGCAACUGCCAUCUUCUGCAUGGUACCUGAUAAUGUUCAGAACUAUUCACAAACUGGGUCCUAAUCCCUUCCCCAGGCAAUUGAUCACACAGCACACCCAUGAGGCUAUAGUUACAUGCUUAGAGUCAGAAAGCAAGAGUGGGAACGUAUGAAACACAAUUAUGUCAUCACAACCGGCUCAGACCUGAUUUUAUCAUGCCUAUUUGAUGAUGGGUUGCUACUGUACAAGCUACUUUACAGAGUGGCUGCUAGGCCUUAAUGGGUCAGAUAACACUGCUCAUAAUGAACAGUUCAGGUUUCAUGAUACUCAAUGGCCCGUUGUUAACUGUUCAGUUCCUGCUAAGGCCCAACAUCUAGCUUUCUUUCAAAGGGAGAAUAGUUGUAUGCAGAUGACAUUAGGGACUUCCUCUAAAGAUCGAAGGGCCUCCACUGUAAUUCAUGGAUAGGAGCCUGCCAAAGGCUCCAAAUAGCAUCCCUAUCUGCCACUGCCACUUCAAGUACCAUUGGGUAAGCUGGAUCAUAUGGUCCAGAUGGCAGAGCAACUGCACGAAAGCUUAAACUUGUUGAAAAGCCUUCUCUCAUUCCAGACCAUACUGAAAAUGGGAAGGUUUCUCUGUUCUCCUUUUUUUUGUUCGUAGGCUUGAGCAACACACCCAAGUGGGGAAUGUGUGGCCUCCAAAAUAGGCCCGCUACACAUUGUGAGUCCUUCGUGGUGGUGGGAGAAGCCACAUGCACUCUCCUUAUACUAGAAGUAAUAUUUCUUCAUCUUUUACACCACUGGGCCCCCCAAAUUUCAGCAAAGUAGAAGGCCCUUUGGGUUGUAUUCAAUUCCAGUCCUCUGAUAUGCAUGUUUUACCAACUUGUCCAGAGUGGUUGCUAUCUUAUGCUCACUUGCCCCAGUUACAGUGAUGUCAUCAAUGUCAUGGUCCAGUGUGAUGUCUUGUGGAACAGAUAGGUGGUCAGAAUCUUCAUGAGCUAAAUUAUGACAUAGGACUGGCGUGCUGAGAGACCUUUGAAGCACAACAGUAAAGUUAUACUUCUGGCUUUGCCAGAUGAAAGCAGACUCCUUUUGGUGGUCCUCAUGGACAGGUAUGAAGCAAAGAGCGUUUGCAAAAUCAACAGCUGUUUACCAUGUUGCAGGAGAACCCUUACUCUGCUCAAACUCAGACAGCAUUCCUGGUACAGAAGCAGCAGUUAGAGUAAUUAUUUGACUAAGUUUGCAAUGAUCAGCUGCCAUUGUCUGUGAUUCAUCUGUUUUCUCCAUUGUCUAUGAUUCAUCAUCUGUUUUCUGCACAGGCUGAAGAGAAGAGACAUUUGAAUUUGAACAACCACUGAGGAGCCCAGGUUCCAGGCACCACAGUCAUUUCUGAUGAGACUCUCAACUAUACAGAGGUAGAAAGCCUCUUCGGGAUCCUGAAUAACUGGGUCCCCGCUGGCGGGGACAAGUGGCGCCCGAACAGGGACCCCAAAGCAAGGCUGACUACAGGACGACGGAGAUAAGAGAGCUGCAGCGGGAAUCGAGGACUCUUCAGGCCGUAUCGCUCGUAUCGCUCGUGCGUCGCUGAAGAAGGAGAGCAAUGAAGCUCUACUGGAUUCUACUGAAACUUCUCUUUCCAACUGUGCUGACAUCCGGAACAUCAAGCCCCUAUCAGAUUUGGAAUUACACCUGGCAGCGCGAUUAUUGCGUAUUAGUACAAUUACUCCCCAGACUCAGCAUUCAUGAACCACAAGAUAUCUUGGAUUUUUGGGUUAGAAACCCUGGUGCACCCUAUCGAGAGAAGAGAGAGCCUAUAUGGGCCAUCACUCUUGCAGUCCUCUUGGGGUUAGGGACAGCAGGGACAGGAACAGGCAUCGCUUCUCUUGUGACUUCCCAACUAAAUCAACAACGCUAUCAUUUACUCAGCGCUGCAAUUGACCAGGACCUAGCUGAGCUGAGAGAGGGCUUAGCCAAUUUAAAAGAUUCUGUUGCCUCCCUUUCAGAAGUAGUACUGCAAAAUAGAAGAGAGCUUGAUUUGCUCUUCCUACAACAAGGAGGACUUUGUGCAGCCUUAAAAGAGAAUGCUGUGUUUAUGUAGAUAAGACUGGACUUGUAGAAACAGUCUAGGAAAAGUGAGAGAUAGCCUGGAAAAACAAAAAAGGGAGAGAGAGCAACAGAAGUCCUGGUAUAAAAACUGGUUUUCUACAUCCCCAUGGCUCUCUACCCUGUUGUCCUCAAUUUUGGGACCUCUUGUGAGCCUACCUUUGUUGAUUUCCUUUGGUCCUUGGGCCUUUCAAUGACUUACAGGCUUUAUUAAAUCACAAAUACAUUCUGCUU